GUCUUUUUGAUUAUAAUUUAAAGUCUAACCUGCCCACUGAAUAUUUUGAAGGGCCGCGGUAUUUUGACUGUGCAAAGGUAGCAUAAUCAUUAGUCUUUUAAUUGGAGGCUUGUAUGAAUGGUUGGAUGAGGUAUUAACUGUCUCAAUUUAAUAAAUAAUAGAAUUUUAUUUUUAAGUUAAAAAGCUUAAAUUUUAUUAAAAGACGAGAAGACCCUAUAGAUCUUUAUAAUUAAUUUUAUAAUAAUUUUUUAGAUUAAAUUUAUUUUUAUGAGAUAAAUUAUUAUAUUGGGGUGAUAAAAAAAUUUAUAAAACUUUUUUUAUAUUAAAACAAUGAUAUUUGAUUAAUUGAUCCAUUUUUUGUGAUUAUAAGAUUAAGUUACCUUAGGGAUAACAGCGUAAUUUUUUUGGAGAGUUCAUAUCGAUAAAAAAGAUUGCGACCUCGAUGUUGAAUUAAAGGUUAAUUUUAGGUGUAGAAGUUUAAAAUUUUGGUCUGUUCGACCAUUAAAUC
rnacentral:rRNA from 1 species